UACGAAGGGGGCUAGUGUUGCUCGGAAUCACUGGGCGUAAAGCGCACGUAGGCGGCUUUUUAAGUCAGAGGUGAAAUCCUGGAGCUCAACUCCAGAACUGCCUUUGAUACUGGAGAGCUUGAGUCCGGGAGAGGUGAGUGGAACUGCGAGUGUAGAGGUGAAAUUCGUAGAUAUUCGCAAGAACACCAGUGGCGAAGGCGGCUCACUGGCCCGGUACUGACGCUGAGGUGCGAAAGCGUGGGGAGCAAACAGG
rnacentral:rRNA from 1 species